UUUGUUUAAUAAAGUUUGGGAUGUUGGCCAACUUCCUUUAGCUUGGAAACAAGCAAUAAUAGUGCCCAUUCCAAAACCAGGAAAGAUCAGUCAGACCCUUCCAGUUACAGACCUAUUGCAUUAACCUCACACUUACGCAAAAUUAUGGAACGACUGGUCACCGAGCGUUUAACAUAUUUCCUAGAGAGUAAAGCUCUUCUGUACCCGUACCAGAGUGGGUUCCGUAGAGGUCGGAAUACAAUGGAUUCAGUAUUGUGCUUAGAAUCAGACAUCAGGAAAGCACAGACCAACAAAGAAAUACUGAUAGCUGUAUUUUUUGACAUUGAAAAAGCAUAUAUGCUAUGCUCUAGAAAGAAGGGUUACUUAUUAAGUUGAAGUCAUUGGGUAUUGGUGGUAGAACAUAUAAUUGGGUUAUGAACUUUCUAUUUGACAGGGAAAUACAAGUAAGAGUAGGCGCAGAAUACUCCAGUGUGUGUGUAUAUAAGGUGGAAAAUGGAACUCCGCAAGGUAGUGUGUAUAGACUUGUAGAAUUUGCAGUGGAUCAGUGAGAACAUCUCCGGUGUCAGCAAUGCAGGUGGAAAUGGGAGAAAUGCCGUUAAGAAUCAGGCGAGUAAAGUUAAUGUUGGCAUAAUGGGUUAAUCUCCAGGGGCAAUGUGAUUCUCAUCCUGCCAAGAGUCUUUUAACAGACUACUGGGAACACAAUGAGACAAAUUUCACAAGUUUUGGGUGGAUUGGUGAUGCAAAGGCAGAAGUCAUAGGAUUAUGACAAUUAGAUUACAGCCCUACAGUGUCACAGUCUUCCAUUCCUCCCUGGUUAUUCCCAACACCAAGUGUAGAUCUAAACAUACAGCAGGAAUUGAAGGAUAUGUCAAAGAAACUUCCAGAAUGCAGCAUAGAAUUACUUUGAUUUACAUUUUUCAGACUCAGUGUUUAUAUUCACAGAUGGCUCCAAAGAUCCUGAUACAGGGCGUGCAGGUGCAGCAGUUUAUAUACCAGCAAGUGAGUCAUAUAUCAAGAAAAGAAUAUCAGAUCAUGUCUCAGUGUAUACCACAGAGUUGACUGCAAUAUUACUGGCCCUGCAGUGGAUAGAAGAGAGGGAAACAAAUAAUACUGUUAUUGCAUCUGCUAGCUUGUCUGCACUAAUGAGUAUUAAAUCUGGCAAAUCAUCAUUUAGAUCCAAAAUCCUCAAUGACAUAUUCCUUAUAUUGUACAGGAUGGAGCUAAAGGGUUUAUCCACAUGCUUCCUUUGGGUUCCUGCUCAUGUUGGUGUGGAGGGAAAUGAGCAGGUGGAUAUUCUGGCCAAAGGAACACUCAAAAUCAAACACGUAGACCUAAAAACCCCAUUAACUAAAGAUGAAUAUUGGACAUUUAUCAGGACCUAUGGCAGGAGCAUUGGGACAAUAGUGAAACUGGAAGGCACCUACAUAAUGUACAGAGACAGGUUGGUGCCGGAAGGAAGGUGGGCUGGAAACGUAGGGAAGAAAAUGUAAUCACUCGUCUGAGAACAAGUCUCAACCUUUCGUUAUAUAAAAUAGGUAAGCACCCAACUGGGAAAUGUAUAUAUUGUAACCAACUAGAAAUGGUUGAACAUGUUCAGAGAUACACUAUCAAGAGGGAACGCCUCUUUCAGUCAUUACGAAAGGCAAAACAUCAUGAUAUCUCAUUGACAGGUGUCUUGGGGAAAACAGCAGCCCAGAUAUUGUCAUAUAAUUAAGUUUCUUAAAGAAACUGUUAGAAAAAAGAAUUUAAUUUGUUUUUUGUUUAUUUCAUUUAUUUCCUGUUUAAUCUCUCGUUCCACACUCCAGUCAAACUGGUUUGCCAACCGCCAUUAAACCCAGAAGAAGAAGUUGUACGUUUCUAACACUAACGUUAGGUGGUAGUAGUAGAAGCUCUCCUUUAUUGGUAGUGGAAUUUUGGACAAAUGGAGGACCACAGCUAUUAUUUAGCACAAGAGCCGACGGAGGGUGAAUCUGCUUCGAAGAAGCGAAAGCGUGAUGAAGCCAGACUUAUAACGGGAGCGACGCAGGCAGAAAUCACGGGUAAACAUCGGUGUGGCUUUUCCUAGAUGGAAGGGUCUAAUGAGGGAAAAAUGUUUUCAAAGCGACACCGAAGUUACCGGUUUUCUGAUGGACAGGCAAGAUGAGCAAUCCCUACGUAACAACCCUACCUGCAACAUCGACUCCCUUGAAGAGAAAACCUUUGCAAGUCCCAGCUCCAGCAUUGUCUAGCAUUGGUGCUUCUAGUGGAACAGACCGAGAUGAGCAUCUUGAUGUCAUGAAGCCACAGAAAUUCAGGACCUUGAACAAAGCUUACAUGAGCAUUUUUGAGGAGGACUUGGAGGAAAAUGUUUUCAAUGAACAGUGUGUAGAAUGGGUGGAGCACUGAAGAAAGCGCACUCUCGAUGGACUUCCUUGCCUGCACAUGAAGACUCUCCUGAUGAGCCUUCUCUCCCUGUGAUCAAGAACCUGUAUUCCCAGAACCACAGAACGUCCUUUGUGAAGAUGACAUCAUAGGUGUCAGAGCCUCCAUAGUAUACAAGAACUGCUUAAGACAACUGGCUACAUUUCUGAUCCUGCCUGUGGAUAAAUGCACUGGCCUUCUGAGGACUGGUGCGCCGUGCAACUCUGUUGCACCCUUUGAGAUCAACAUCACCACCAAGGGCACAGCAGCUACUAUCGACUGGAUAUAAUGGACACAGCUUGUGGAGGUGGAAUUCCCAGCCUGGCAUGAAGUUUGGGAUGCAAGCUGGAGAUUUUCUCUUGUCCACCAACAUUUUGUUGUCUGACAACAGAUUGCCCUCUUGUUCAAAUUCAUGAACAUGGGGAUGGUGAACAGGAACACUUUCUUCUCCAUUCAGGACAUUUACUGUGUCAAUACAAUAAAGGACUUCUGGGAAGAGAAGAACAGAGGAUCUUUGUGGCCUUCAAGGGAAAGAUGUUGUUGUCCUAGAUGGCAGAAAUGACUCUUGGUCACUGUGCACAAUACUGCACCACCAUGGAGAAGCAGCAAACAUCAUGGAACUCUGUCUUCAUGGAGAAGGAGGGUUUCAUCCAGACUGGACAAGCUUACAUCAGAAAUAAAGCUAGUGGAGAUCUGCACAGAUGCUCAUGCCCAGAUUGGUGCCCUUAUGAGUUAAGUAUUCAUGUGAUAUAUUGUAUGGAUGCAUGUGUAUAACAGCAAUAUAAAUAUUAUAGUAACAUGACAUUUUUUACCACUUCAUAGAGCCAGACAAAGGCAAAUACAAGGCCCUUGGAAUUCAUCACAGUCUGGACAUAUGGCAUGGUUUGAAGAACCUUGCCAGAAAAAUAGCAGCAGCAGCAAAGAUAAAAGGGACAGUCCAUCCUCUUCAACUGGCUGAAGGACAUAGUCAACCAUUUUCAGUGGUGUUGCAAGACUUGCUAUAUUAAGGACAUAUUUAUAGUGCAUUUUUAUGUUUUGCAGGCAUUAUGGGUUGGCAUCCUUCACCAUGUCUGCAACAUUCACACCUGGACUAUGGGAAGUUGCAAACACGGGCACCUUGAAUCGGAUCAAAUGCGGGGAAAGAUGUGGAUCCAGAGAGACUCCCAGUGCCACAAAGCUUUAGUGGAUACAGUUCUCAAUAAGAGGUGGCAGAAAGAUGUUCACAACUAUCUGCGAUUCAGGUAGUGUGGCUAUACUUUUUCACACUGAUGUGUAUUAGUCUGUGAAUGCUCUCGCCCGCCUGCCCGCUCUCUCUCGCCCGCCGGCCUGCCCGCUCUCUCUCGCCCGCCGGCCUG